AGAAUUAAUUUUAUUCUAUAAUCAUGAUGAGAGAGAGGCGAUUUUUCUUGCGAUCGUAUCUCUUCAUCUUCGCCUCUUCUUUGUAUCGUUUCUUGACAAGCGGUUGUCGCCGGUUAUCGGCGGUUCCUUCAGAGUUGAUCAACGGUAUUACAGUUAUCAAUCGCAUAACUGACGCUACCCAAUACCUAUUUAAACUAUGUGAAUGUCUCUGGAGCCAAUGGGUUGAUCAGAGUGAAAUAAGCCAAUUUCCUUUGUUCAUAUUAAUCAUGGCAGACUGCAAGAAAUUGCACUAGGAAUUGAAGAUGAAGCGAUCAAUCUCCCUUUUGAUUUGUGUGAAGAGGCGAUUAGCUAAACCCGCUAUAGUCUAAUUGUGAAACCGGUGAAUCCAAGGAAGCAGAACUUACGAGCAAUGGCGAGUGCCUUACCCCGUCUAUG
rnacentral:sRNA from 1 species